AAAGAAAGCGUAAUAGCUCACUGGUCGAGUCGGCCUGCGCGGAAGAUGUAACGGGGCUAAACCAUGCACCGAAGCUGCGGCAGCGACGCUUAUGCGUUGUUGGGUAGGGGAGCGUUCUGUAAGCCUGUGAAGGUGUGCUGUGAGGCAUGCUGGAGGUAUCAGAAGUGCGAAUGCUGACAUAAGUAACGAUAAAGCGGGUGAAAAGCCCGCUCGCCGGAAGACCAAGGGUUCCUGUCCAACGUUAAUCGGGGCAGGGUGAGUCGACCCCUAAGG
rnacentral:rRNA from 1 species